UACAGAGGUCCCAAGCGUUGUUCGGAUUCACUGGGCGUAAAGGGUGCGUAGGUGGCAUGGUAAGUUUGAUGUGAAAGCUCAGGGCUUAACCCUGAAAUGGCAUUGAAUACUACUGUGCUGGAGGUUUGGAGGGGGGACUGGAAUUCUUGGUGUAGCAGUGAAAUGCGUAGAUAUCAAGAGGAACACCAGUGGCGAAGGCGAGUCCCUGGACAACACCUGACACUGAGGCACGAAAGCUAGGGGAGCAAACAGG
rnacentral:rRNA from 1 species